ACACACACACAGACACACACACACAUGCACACAGUGUCCUACUGCACUGUGAGCUCCUACAGUGUGACUCCCAUAAUCCUUCAUCUUCUGGUUGUGGCCACACAGAGUACAGAAGCCAGGGGCCAGGCAUCCAGCCUUCUUAAUCAGGGUAAUCAGGUCAGUAAAGAAGCCAUUGCCCACUAAAACCAUACAGUCAGCCCCUGCAUCUUCCAAAUAAAGCCCAAGGUCCUGGCGAGAAUGGUCUAAGUGGUCAGACAAUCUCAGGCCUUAAAUCCUUGAACAGUGACAGGGAGCCCCAGCCUUUGCAUGUCGUGCCUAAGUGUGACACAUACAGCAGCCUUACAAACAGCUACAGCCCUUUCCUCAAGGGACUCCAGGGGAGGACACUUUGAGAAGAGUUGGGGUUUUUGUUUGGUUGUUUUUUUCUGUUUAGUUCUCUCGAGAUCUCCCAGGCUUUGUUCCUCUGCGUGGAGGAGCUCUGUGUGCAGUGUGCAUGUAUUUAUGUGUUACACAGAAGCCAGCAUCCAGUCUCAAGCCUACCCCUAAGAAAUAGAGGGUCACCAAGACCCCCAGCAGGCGCCUUUUCCUACGGGUUCUGGGAUGAGGGUACCUGAGCCCUUAUCAAUAGAAGAGACACUUCUGGGGAGACAGCCAAAAGCACCCCACUGAGUCAAGUCAGCCAUCACUGGGCCUAUGGGCCACCUGGGUCUAUCUUAAUGUAACCUUUUAUACACAUGGGGGAGGGGGGCAAAAUAAG
rnacentral:lncRNA from 1 species